AACAGGAUUAGAUACCCUGGUAGUCCACGCCCUAAACGAUGUCAACUAGUUGUCGGGUCUUCAUUGACUUGGUAACGUAGCUAACGCGUGAAGUUGACCGCCUGGGGAGUACGGUCGCAAGAUUAAAACUCAAAGGAAUUGACGGGGACCCGCACAAGCGGUGGAUGAUGUGGAUUAAUUCGAUGCAACGCGAAAAACCUUACCUACCCUUGACAUGUAUGGAACCCUGCUGAGAGGUGGGGGUGCCCGAAAGGGAGCCAUAACACAGGUGCUGCAUGGCUGUCGUCAGCUCGUAUCGUGAGAUGUUGGGUUAAGUCCCGCAACGAGCGCAACCCUUGUCCCUAGUUGCUACGCAAGAGCACUCUAGGGAGACUGCCGGUGACAAACCGGAGGAAGGUGGGGAUGACGUCAAGUCCUCAUGGCCCUUAUGGGUAGGGCUUCACACGUCAUACAAUGGUCGGAACAGAGGGUCGCCAAGCCGCGAGGUGGAGCCAAUCCCAGAAAACCGAUCGUAGUCCGGAUCGCACUCUGCAACUCGAGUGCGUGAAGCUGGAAUCGCUAGUAAUCGCGGAUCAGCAUGCCGCGGUGAAUACGUUCCCGGGUCUUGUACACACCGCCCGUCACACCAUGGGAGUGGGUUUCACCAGAAGUAGGUAGCCUAACCGCAAGGAGGGCGCUUACCACGGUGGGAUUCAUGACUGGGGUGAAGUCGUAACAAGGUAACCGUAA
rnacentral:rRNA from 1 species